rnacentral:rRNA from 1 species
AGCGGCGGACGGGUGAGUAAUGCUUGGGAAUAUGCCUUUUGGUGGGGGACAACAGUUGGAAACGACUGCUAAUACCGCAUAAUGUCUACGGACCAAAGUGGGGGACCUUCNGGCCUCACGCCNAAAGAUUANCCCAAGUGGGAUUAGCUAGUUGGUAAGGUAAUGGCUUACCAAGGCGACNAUCCCUANCUGGUUUGAGAGGAUGAUCANCCACNCUGGGACUGANACNCGGCCCAGACUCCUACGGGAGGCAGCANUGGGGAAUAUUGCACANUGGGCGCAAGCCUGAUGCANCCAUGCCGCGUGUGUGAAGAAGGCCUUCGGGUUGUAAAGCACUUUCAGUCANGAGGAAAGGUUAUGUUUUAAUANAGCAUANCUGUGACGUUACUGACAGAAGAAGCACCGGCUAACUCCGUGCCAGCAGCCGCGGUAAUACGGAGGGUGCGAGCGUUAAUCNGAAUUACUGGGCGUAAAGCGUACGCANGCGGUUUGUUAAGCGAGAUGUGAAAGCCCCGGGCUCAACCUGGGAACUGCAUUUCNAACUGGNAAACUAGANUGUGAUANAGGGUGGUAGAAUUUCANGUGUANCGGUGAAAUGCGUAAAGAUCUGAAGGAAUACCNAUGGCNAANGCANCCACCUGGGUCAACACUGACGCUCAUGUACGAAAGCGUGG